GCUCCUGUGAAAACGACACGUCUCAUCAACGAGCUGAAUCGAACUGGGUAGAAUUGUCCUUUGCAGGCUUCCGUGGAUAAGCUGCUGUUUUGUUGAUGUUUUCCUGAUCAGCUGACAACCUCCUCACGAUCAAAUCUCGCACCGAAGCCGCGUGACACCGUCCAUUCCCUCACGUGCAGGCAAACAGAGCGUGUUUUUUACGCGCUGUCUGUCUUCUGACGUGAAUCCGGUAAGCAGCCGGGUUAGCAGGAAGCGAACAGGCUAACGCCAUCAGCCGCCCGAUGCUAGGAGACGCCAUGGAGGGUAUUCUGUACAAGUGGACCAACUACAUGACAGGCUGGCAGCCUCGCUGGUUUGUCCUUGAAAACGGGGUCAUCUCGUACUACGACAGUGAGGACGACGUCAACAAAGGCAGCAAAGGAUCGAUCAAGAUGUCUGUGUGCGACAUUAAAGUUCAUCCCACAGAUUCCACCCGGCUGGAUCUGAUCAUCCCUGGAGAGCAGCACUUCUACGUGCGUGCUGUGAACGCCGCUGAGCGCCAGAGGUGGCUGGUAGCGUUAGGUUCAUCCAAAGCUGGAAACCUGGACAGCAAGAAACACGGAGGUCCAGAAUGUCUGAAAACCAAGAUGUCUGAACUGCGUCUGUACUGUGACCUUCUGGUGCAACAGGUCCAGACCAUCCAAUCACAGAACAACACAGGAGAUGAGGCCACGCCCACAAGUGAGGCCUCUUUGCUCAGUGCCACGUGUACAACCUUCAUUCAGACUCUGGAGGAGUGCAUGAGCCUGGCCAACCAGAGCCUGAUGCCUGACUUGAGGCCUGCGGAGAAGAUGAAGAGAUCCGUCAGUCACCCAGGAACCUACAGCUUUGAGAGGUCAGGAAUGCUGAAGGAGUGUGUGAGCGGAGCUCAAAGGUCAAUGCCCCGCAGACCACGAACGUGCUCGGACAGCUCCGUCUAUGACGCCCAGCGUCCACUGCCGGGUCUGAACGGUGACUCAUCCUCUAUCCCAGAAGAAAGAACGGACAGCGUCAGCCCCAAGACCCCACCCACAGAUGUAGACACAGACUUGUCUAUUUGAACCCCAAUCCAAACGCGGCAGAACCACAGAGGACAUUUUUGAAAAGUGUUCUUCCACAACGUGUCCCUUCUGCCGAUCUAUUGCAGUUUCAUGCUGCAGCUGAGCUUCUGCUGCUGCCGUGCACGUGGCCCGCUCAGAGCUGACUCCUUCAGCGCAGAGAAUGAACUUUUUCUCCUGACUGUGUCUACGCAGAAUGCGAUUAUUCUGCUUUCUGAUGAAGCUUUGGGAGAACCAGUUCCGGUUCACAGGGAUCGGCAAGAAUCAACAGGUGUGCCGCUGCAGACUGUCGGAGGCCAGGGCCAGCAGGACCGCCGCGAGGCCCCCAGAGCCAGAGAACAGGGAGGCAUUGGGGCUUGCCACUCCAGCUCAACCAGGAGAGCAGCCUUCCCGCCGCGCAGGGAGGGCCCAACGCAGGGUCCCACCCCAGAAGAGUGCCCACAGCUCCAGACGAGCACCUCAACACCACCCAGCAGAUCUGGGCAUCCCCCUGCCCCACCCCAGCAGACAGCAGGCUCUGCUUCACCUCCAUGUCAUGGGACGCCUGGGAGUCCUCUCCCCCUCCCUUCUCUGAUCUCUCUCCCCAGGUUGGACCCAGCUGUCGGUACUCAUCUCAUCAGUCCUCUUGCUAUUUAAGAUGAGGCCUCUCCAGCAGCCCCUCUAUGGUUCAUUCAUCAUCAUCUGGUUACACCUGAGAUUCCAGACCUCCAGCCACGCCACGACUCCACGCCACGCAGCCGCUCCAUCACACCCACUAGUCCAAUACCACCGGAUCUCCAAACGCGUGCUACGCGUCACAGAAAGAAAAGGAAGGACCUCCGUUCCCACCGCCUCUCCCUCCGGGACUCGCGCUCCUUCUCUGGGUGCCGUUUCCCCAUCAUCAGCCACAAGAAUACGACUACGUAUUACUGUGUCAGCCUGGACAAUAAAUGGGUGACUCUUUCCAUACCUGUCUACGUUAUCUUUCCGGGUUCCAGCAACUGGGUCUGUCUCAGUGUUUCCACAACGAGAAGCAGCAUGCAUGCUGUGAUGUCAUAGUAAAGGAGAAGCAGGUGAUGCAUCUGGGAGCACAGAUGGAUCCAGUACUGAUGAUGAUGGAAUAAAUUACCGGCUUUGAGGGGGAAAAAAUUACUUUAACAGACGUCAGCAUCAAAGACUUCAUGCAUAUUGUAGUUUGACAGGUGUGAUAACCUCACAUUAUGCCUAAAAUGGACGAACUUGGUAUCAAACCAUCAUGUCUCAUUUCUUUCAGUAGUCCUUCAUGGAAGCUGUGAGUUUAUGUGACAUGAAGUUGAAAUACUGGCUGUGUCUUUACAGUUCCUUCUUACCUUUCUGAAACCUUUCAGGGUUGAUGAUAUCUGUUUUUUCUUCUGAUAACCUUUGCAGAGUGCAAGUCUUCUUCUAAAAUCAGAAAAAAGGACAUGAUUCUUGUUUUCCUCGUCUUCAUCACAUGUCUUGCUACUCCAGAAAAUCAAUUCCACACUUUAAACUUUGCAGCGUUACAUAUAAAUAGUGCAUUGACAGAGGAGUAAAAGUGUCCAGGCAGCUGCAGAAUACCCAUUAUGAUCAGAACAUUCAGAACACCACAGUGGUAUAAGACAUUGCUGCAGAACCUCGGCUGCUUCUUUGUCAAUUGGUGAUAAUGGACCCAUCAGGAAGAAGAGCAUUCCUUCCCCCUCUCUCUGCUCCUCCCUCCCUCUCUGCUCCUCCCUCCCUCUCUGCCCGUCUCAGUUCCAUCUCUGCUUCAGUAAUAAUGGAGCCCAGCAGUCCGAAGAAGAUCCAGUUUGCUGUUCCUCCUCUGCAGGGUCAGCUGGACCCACAGGCCGCUGAGCAGAUUCGACGCAGAAGACCAACUCCUGCCACUCUGCAGAUCUACAGACAGCCGGGCUCAGAUGCUGCAGAUCAACACAACGGGAGCGGAGACUCACAGUCUUCCUUGAGGGUUUUUAGCUUUUCCAAAUUCCAUGUGCAGCCCAGUCACUGAUGGGUCCAAUCGGGUCAGUGCAUAAAGUGGAUCAUGACUGUCAGAAGGAUCUUUCUGAUCUUCAGUUGUGCUGCUUUCCUCCUUUGCAGGCCUCAAAUCCCUUUCAGAAGAAGCAGAGCACCUAUGCCCCGCCCACCAUGACAGAUUUGUCGUGCACUCGGAAAAAGGAAGCACCAAGUCCUGAUUCCAUCUCCCGAUAGCCGCCUUUCAUCUGACCUUCUCUCACGCUUGGUCCCAUUUUCAAACCUGUUUUUCCUAUGGUGUCACAGAUCUGCAGUCUAAAAGCAAUAUUUUUUUGAAAAGGCAACCUUCUCCAUCAUUCCUUCAUGCACAAACAUUAAGUUAGAAUGCACUUGGAGUUCAAACUGUGGCUGUGAAUAAAGAUGUAAAAAGAAAA